UACGUAGGGGGCAAGCGUUGCUCGGAAUCACUGGGCGUAAAGCGCACGUAGGCGGAUUGCUAAGUCAGGGGUGAAAUCCUGGAGCUCAACUCCAGAACUGCCUUUGAUACUGGCGAUCUCGAGUCCGGGAGAGGUGAGUGGAACUGCGAGUGUAGAGGUGAAAUUCGUAGAUAUUCGCAAGAACACCAGUGGCGAAGGCGGCUCACUGGCCCGGUACUGACGCUGAGGUGCGAAAGCGUGGGGAGCAAACAGG
rnacentral:rRNA from 1 species